UUUAAUUAACAGAUACCCUUCUACAGUGUUGAAAAACAGUCUCUCUUUGGUCAUACACCUGAGUACAAUUUUAUUAAAGCUUUUGGGUGUAUGUAUUUUAGUUCUACUCUUAUUAGAAAUAGGGAUAAGCUAGAUCCUAGAGCUAUUCCUGGGGUGUUUUGGGGAUAUCCUUUUGGGAAAAAAAGGUGUAAAAUACUCAAUUUGCAGAUUAAUCAGGUGUUUGUCUCUGAAAAUGUCAGGUUUAUAGAAAACAAUUUUCCUUUCUCUUAUUCUAUUCCUAUGACCAAACUUUUUCCAGCAUGUCUCCCACAAUCUACGGAAGCUAUUUUUCCUUCUAGAAUCAUUACACAAUGUCCUAACUCUACUUCUACAUUAACACCCAAUCAAACACGUUCUCCUUGUUCUUCCCCUGUGUCUAACCGUUCUACGGGUACAUCAGCUGUAUCACCCUUCCCCUCUACUGAAGUGUUAUCCUCUGCACCAGGGCAACUGCUGCGCAGAUCUCAACGGGACCACAAUCCACCUAAGUAUUUUUCUGAUUAUAUUUGUGAUACUGCUUUUUCUGUUAUUUCUCCUAACCCUCUUGUUUGUUUUCUUCAUCAUUCCUCUUUUUCUGGCUUGACUCAACACAACCAAGCACUCAAUUCUUUCAUUUGUCAAAUCACUGAGCCUACCUCCUAUCUAUAAGCAUCACCACACCCUGGUUGGCAGGAUGCAAUGACCUAAGAAUUUGACGCAUUAGCAUCUAACAAGACAUGGGAUAUUGUGGAACUCCCAGCAGGAAAGAAGCCAUUCCCUUGUAAAUGGGUCUAUAAAGUGAAAUUGAAGUCCGAUGGUUCCUUGGAAAGUUUAAAUGCACGCUUGGUCAUUCGAGGGGAUAGAGAAGGGAUUGACUACACAGAGACAUUUUCCCCAGUUAUAAAAAUGACUACAAUUCGGUGCAUCCUAGCUAUUCAGGUAAAGAAAGGUUGGGAAUUAUACCAGCUUGAUAUGAAUAACGCAUUCCUUCAUGAUGACUUGAAUGAAGAGGUAAACAUGUGCUUCCCUCUCGGUAUGUCUGCACCUUCAUCUUCUCAUGUUUGCAGGCUCCGCAAAUCAUUGUAUGGCCUUAAAUAGGCCCCGAGACAGUGGUACGCCAGGCUAUCAUCUGCUUUGGCCACCAUGGGUUUUAUUUAUUCCCUCAAUGACUAUUCUCUUUUCUUCAAAAUAAAUGGCAAUCUGGUAACUAUUCUUGCAAUUUAUGUUGACGACAUACCGAUGACUGGAAACAACACGAACGAAAUUAGUGAGUUGAAACAAUUCCUUGACCCUGAAUUUAAAAUAAAGGAUUUGGGAAUUACUUUCUUGGUAUGGAAUUGGUGCGUGAAAAUGGUGUAUUGGUUGUUACACAAAGAAAAUUUGCUAUGGAGAUGCUUUCUGAAUUCAAUUGUACAGGUUUACGACCUGUUUCCACUCUAUUGGAUCCCAAUUUCAAACUUUCCUCUUUUCGUGGAACACCUCAUCUAGACCCUCUCAUGUAUAGAAGACUUUUAGGAAAGUUGAAUUUUUUAAAAAACACUCAACCGGACCUAUGCUUCGCAGUCCAAACUCUUAGUUAAUAUAUGCAAUCACCCUGUACAGGUCACUUCCGGGAAGCUAUGCACACCCUAUGCUAUUUGAAUGGAGAUCUGGUCUUGGAUUGUUCUUAUCCUCUACGCCGUCUUUUCAGAUAUUGGCCUAUUGCAAUUCCGAUUGGGCUUCAUGUUCUGAGACACAGCGGUCAGUGAGUGGUUUCUUCUUGAGUCUUGGUGGAAGUCCAAUUUCUCGAAAGUCGAAAAAGCAGCCGAUUGUUGCUUUAUCCUCGACAGAAGUAGAAUAUAGAUCAAUGCGACGUCCUGUUGCAGAAAUAACUUGGGUGGUUCGUCUCCUUCAAGUUCUGACUGUCACUCCGAUUUUGCCUGUUCCUCUCCACUAUGAUAGUCAAGCAGUGAUCCAUAUUGCUAAAAAACCUAUCUUUCACAAACGAACGAAACAUAAAGAGCCCGAUUUCCAUUUCGUUCUUGAGAAACUGCUUGAUAGUUUGAUUCCGCUUUUGUUUGUUCCAUCUUCUUCCCAAUUGGCAAAUCUCUUUACAAAAGCCCUCGUCGGACCUCUUCAUCAUUCUUUGUUAUCCAAGUUGGGAGUCCGAAAAUUGGCCUCCAACUUGAGGGACAGUGUUGACGGAGAAAAUAUUGCCGAAAAUGGUUCACAAAUCGUCGAGCAGGCUGUGACCUAGAAAGAAGCUUUUGUUUUAAUUGAGAAUGUUUUCAUCUUUGUCUGAAGAUUGAAAGAUAAGGACCUACUGAGAGUAUUGAGGAUAUUGGAUUGGGAAAACAACUAUUGAGCCUGUUUUUUGAUUGUUUGCACUCACAGAACCUUAGACCUAAUUUGGCUCUGACUAGAGCCCAG
rnacentral:lncRNA from 1 species